UACGGAGGGUGCGAGCGUUAAUCGGAAUUACUGGGCGUAAAGGGUGCGUAGGUGGUUUUAUAAGUUAGCUGUGAAAUUCCUGGGCUUAACCUGGGCUGGUCAGCUAAGACUGUAGGACUUGAGUAUAGGAGAGGGUAGUGGAAUUUCCGGUGUAGCGGUGAAAUGCGUAGAGAUCGGAAGGAACACCAGUGGCGAAGGCGGCUACCUGGCCUAAUACUGACACUGAGGCACGAAAGCGUGGGGAGCAAAC
rnacentral:rRNA from 1 species